AGAGUUUGAUUCUGGCUCAGAACGAACGCUGGCGGCAGGCUUAACACAUGCAAGUCGAACGAUAUAGUGGCAGACGGGUGAGUAACGCGUGGAAACGUGCCUUUCACUACGGAAUAGCUUUUGGAAACGAAAGGUAAUACCGUAUACGCCCUCCGGGGGAAAGAUUUAUCGGUGAAAGAUCGGUCCGCGUUAGAUUAGCUAGUUGGUGAGGUAAGAGCUCACCAAGGCGACGAUCUAUAGCUGGUCUGAGAGGAUGAUCAGCCACACUGGGACUGAGACACGGCCCAGACUCCUACGGGAGGCAGCAGUGGGGAAUAUUGCACAAUGGGCGCAAGCCUGAUGCAGCCAUGCCGCGUGAAUGAUGAAGGCCUUAGGGUUGUAGAAUUCUUUCGCCAAGGAUGAUAAUGACAGUACUUGGUAAAGAAGCCCCGGCUAACUUCGUGCCAGCAGCCGCGGUAAUACGAAGGGGGCUAGCGUUGUUCGGAAUUACUGGGCGUAAAGCGCACGUAGGCGGACUUUUAAGUCAGAUGUGAAAUCCCAAGGCUCAACCUUGGAACUGCAUUUGAAACUGGGAGUCUAGAGAUCAGGAGAGGUUAGUGGAAUACCGAGUGUAGAGGUGAAAUUCGUAGAUAUUCGGUGGAACACCAGUGGCGAAGGCGACUAACUGGACUGAUACUGACGCUGAGGUGCGAAAGUGUGGGGAGCAAACAGGAUUAGAUACCCUGGUAGUCCACACCGUAAACGAUGAGAGCUAGUUGUCUGCAGGCAUGCCUGUAGGUGACGCAGCUAACGCAUUAAGCUCUCCGCCUGGGGAGUACGGCCGCAAGGUUAAAACUCAAAGAAAUUGACGGGGGCCCGCACAAGCGGUGGAGCAUGUGGUUUAAUUCGAAGCAACGCGCAGAACCUUACCUACGCUUGACAUGCCUGGACGACUCCGAGAGAUCGGUUUCUCCCUUCGGGGCCAGUGCACAGGUGCUGCAUGGCUGUCGUCAGCUCGUGUCGUGAGAUGUUGGGUUAAGUCCCGCAACGAGCGCAACCCUCAUCCUUAGUUGCCAUCACGUUUGGGUGGGCACUCUAGGGAAACUGCCGGUGCUAAGCCGGAGGAAGGCGGGGAUGACGUCAAGUCCUCAUGGCCCUUACGCGUAGGGCUACACACGUGCUACAAUGGCAGUGACAAUGGGUUAAUCCCCAAAAGCUGUCUCAGUUCGGAUUGUCGGCUGCAACUCGCCGGCAUGAAGUUGGAAUCGCUAGUAAUCGUGGAUCAGCAUGCCACGGUGAAUACGUUCCCGGGCCUUGUACACACCGCCCGUCACACCAUGGGAGUUGGAUCUACCCGAAGAUUGUGAGCUAACUUCGGAGGCAGCAAGCCACGGUAGGUUCAGCGACUGGGGUGAAGUCGUAACAAGGUA
rnacentral:rRNA from 1 species